GCAGUGCUUUCUUCUUUUAACCUUUUAUGCUAUACCAGGGUAACACUAAAAACCAUGUAGGUGAUUUGUAUUAUUCCACCAGGAUCAGUGCGAAGAAAAUCAUUGGCUCAGAUUGCAACAGGCUGAAGAAAGCAUAAGAUAUUCUCGUCAGCAUCACAGUAUUCAGAUGAAAAGAGACAAGAUAAAAAGGAGCAAAAGAAAAAAGAAUGGAUCAACCAAGAACGUCAAACACUCCAACAAUUGAGAGCAUUUAAAGAUGUAAGUUUUAUAAACAAUCACCUCAUCUACACUUCUGGGGAAAUAAAUGAAGACCGCUCUAAAGAGGAAAGUAUUAAGAACAGGUCAUUCAGAACAUGUAACAUUUAAAAAAUAACAUUAUUUCUGGUAUAUCAAUAAAAAGCAACAACAAAAAUAGAAUAUCAGUGAUUCAAAACCCAUGAUAUAAAAUAACUGCUGUUUUUGACAUCACAACACGCUUGGGUUCCUGCUCUGCACUCUUCACUGAGUAGUCCUUACUGGCACUGGUGGUUUAGAUUGG
ensembl:lncRNA novel transcript